GCGGACUGGCAGCCAAAAGCGGCUCCGGAGCCGGGCAAUCCGGGCGGCCCCACACCUAGCAGGGCCCUGAGUUAACUUAUUUUUACUAGCAUGAUGUUUUGAGUAAUAGUUCCAAUCUUACAUAAUUAAAAACUGAGCAAAACUACAUUUAUUUAAUAUUUGUGAACUCAUUCAGCAAACUUGAAGUGUACCGACAGCCUCGUUAUUCAUCCACAGACUGCAGUGUCGUCCUUGUUAUGGUCUCAUCAGUCCGGAGUAGUGAAUAACCUAGCUGGAGGCAGCUGCCAUCUUAUUAUAGUUGAGAAUGCCAACAAACUGGUGGCUAAAAGCCCAAUUACCGGACGAGAGGAGGUCGUAAUAACGAACUUCGGCGAGUUCCAAAGGUUCUGUGAGUCGACGAAGUUUGAAGAUCAUAGCUGAAGUAAGAAGGAAUGUCCUGUUAUGAAAACAUUCAUUUUACUACUUUUUCCGCUCAUUAAUGCUGAGUAGUCAUAAAAACAUGUUUUUGAGUUAAGUUGCAUCAAUUUGCUUAUAAAA